UGAGAACUGAUUUCUAUUGCGACAAAAUAAUAAAAAGUAACUGUAAAAAUCAGAUUACACUCAAAUGCAUUCGUUUUUUGGGGCUCCCCUGAUCAAAAUUGUUGGGAUCAAUCAAUGUGUCGGACUAACUGAAGGAAAAUACUCUUCGGAACGUAUAAUACGUUUUUUUGGUAUAUACUACGUUUUUUGGUGGGGCGGUGGUUUUAAUUUAUAUGAUAUCUUGACGGAUAUAUUCAAUUGCCCUCGAAAUGGUCUUGAGGACAUCGGUGAGUGGGUGCAAGAUUUGGAGAAAAUCGUGGAUUCAUCGCAAUCGAAUAAUUUAAAAACAAGUGUAUUUAGGGAUGAACAAAUAACUCGGCAGC